CAACAAGCAGCGAGAAAGGCUACAAAUUACAAACCUGACAGGCAGUAGAUGAGGAGGAAAGGAACGAGUGGCUGAAAGGAGGCUUCCAAAGAAAGACCCUCUUCUUUGAGUGUGACCCAGUGUGGAAGCCCGUUACCUUGCAUCAAAACGGACAUGCAUGAGUGCGGCACAUGUACCAAGGCAGACAAGGGAGAAGACCUUACCUUCUGACCGCAACAGGCCAAGCACCUCGCGCCUGUCUGUACGAACACACGGCUUGACCUCUGGCGGACGGGUAAGGGUGGUAGGUGCGUGAGCGUAUGCCAAAAGGCUAACUGUAGACCUCAGAGGUCACUAACCUUUGCCUAAAGGAGAGAAAAUGAGGUGACCCGUGGCGCUCCUGCCCCCAACCCCAAUCUCUCGGGCCACGUUACACGUCUGAGGUUACAGCUGCCCCAUAGAGGGGCAGGAGGCAGGGCAUGUCUACCCUCAGUCUUCUGAUGGAUGGGUGAGUACUCUCCAGCCAGGAAGCGAGCGAUCUGUCCCGACGGAAGAACAGCAAGAAGCGUUAGUCCAAGGUAACAGAAACAAGUGGCGUGGCUUUCCGUGGUCUUCAUUUAGUAGGAAACGUGUGCGGGAAGGAAAUGUUGCACACCUCUAUUUCUUGCCACCCAUCUCUGUCUGUGUGACUAUGUAUCUGUGAGAGCGUGUAUGUGUUCAAAUGAGAAGAGAAAGAGUGAGAAAGAAACGAAGAGGAAGUCAGACGUUCUUUGUGUUUAUUGUAUCUUUAAAGCUGAGUUAACACUCAUUAGCGAGCCAGAUGCGCCGAGCGGGAGAGAAAUGUCAUUAGCAGGCGGCGGGAUCCGAACCUGUCACAUAUUGUUGUUCACUGCUUCCUUGGUGACGAGAGCGUCACCUCUGAGCCACCAGGUAGCCAGCACGGGACUCCAGAACUUCUACGAGACAGUGACUGCCACGUGGUCUCGAUGUAAACAGCGAUGACUGUGUUGCGCAGAGCGACCCUAACGGCAGAGUUUGUGACUUGGUCCAGUAAAUCGCAAAGUAAUAAAUUGUAAUGAAGUGUAAUAAAGUGUGCACUAUUAUUAUGACAUGUUUGAAUGUGUAUAUAUUAUCUUUACUUUGUUUCUUGUGCUUGUCACAUUUUAUUUCUUUAUGAACACUGGCUGCCUUGGCGAGAUAUCGCCUUAGUUGCUGGCUCGGCGUAAAACACCCAUUCCCCCUACCCCUGUACCUGCAGCUGCACGUGCACUAGCUCUCAUCACUAAGUUCGUUUGUUCGGUUACCUAAACAAUUACACUUUGCACAGAUUAUGAACCAAAUGACAAUGAGUAUAUUUUCCAGGAAAUGGCUCAACCUACUAAAACAAUCCAGUCUACGAUCCCUCCUUGCUGUGUAUGUAAUGUACACAAUCCUGAACCCGAUGUGUAGCAGACGACAUUUUUCAGUGUCAAUAUUCCUAGAAAUAAUAAUUAUGUCUAUAAAGUAAGGACUGUAAAAAUUAUCAAGUACUGACCUCGCUUCAUCAGUUGUAAAUCGGAAAAGGAUUUACCAGGACAUGUGUAAGUAAUCAGUACAAUUAAUCGCACAACAUCAGGUUCCCCAUGUCGACACUUUA